GAUGAACGCUAGCGGCAGGCUUAAUACAUGCAAGUCGUGGGGCAGCAUGAGUGUAGCAAUACAUUUGAUGGCGACCGGCAAACGGGUGCGGAACACGUACACAACCUUCCUAUAAGUGGGGAAUAGCCCAGAGAAAUUUGGAUUAAUACCCCGUAACAUAAUGAUGUGGCAUCACAUUAUUAUUAUAGCUUCGGCGCUUAUUGAUGGGUGUGCGGCUGAUUAGAUAGUUGGCGGGGUAACGGCCCACCAAGUCUACGAUCAGUAGCUGAUGUGAGAGCCGGACCGGCAACACGGGAACUGAGGCACGGUCCCGAGUCCUACGGGAGGAAGCAGUAAGGAAUAUUGUUCAAUGGACGCAAUUCUGAACCAGCCAUGCCGCGUGAAGGAUUAAGGUCCUCUGGAUUGUAAACUUCUUUUAUCUGGGACGAAAAAAGGUCUUUCUAGAUCGUCUGACGGUACCUUAUGAAUAAGCACCGGCUAACUCCGUGCCAGCCGCCGCCGUAACAC
rnacentral:rRNA from 1 species